CCUACGGGAGGCAGCAGUGGGGAAUAUUGCACAAUGGGGGAAACCCUGAUGCAGCGACGCCGCGUGAGUGAAGACUUAAUUCGUUAUGUAAAGCUCUAUCAGUAGGGAAGUAAAGGACGGUAUCUGAGUAAGAAGCCCCGGCUAACUCCGUGCCAGCAGCCGCGGCAAUACGUAGGGGGCAAGCGUUAUCCGGAUUUACUGGGUGUAAAGGGAGCGUAGGCGGCAGUGCAAGUCUGGAGGGAAAGGCGGGGGCUCAACCCUCGGACUGCAGUGGAAACUGUACGGCUGGAGUGCAGGAGAGGUAGGUGGGAUUCGUGGUGUAGCGGUGAAAUGCGUAGAUAUUAGGAGGAACACCAGUGGCGAAGGCGGCUUACUGGACUGUAACUGACGUUGAGGCUCGAAAGCGUGGGGAGCGAACAGGAUUAGAUACCCGAGUAGUC
rnacentral:rRNA from 1 species